rnacentral:rRNA from 1 species
UACGGAGGGUGCUAGCGUUGUUCGGAAUUACUGGGCGUAAAGGGCGCGUAGGCGGCCGUUUGCGUCGGAUGUGAAAGCCCGGGGCUCAACCUCGGAACGGCAUUCGAUACGGGACGGCUGGAGACCGGGAGAGGAGAGUGGAAUAGCCAGUGUAGAGGUGAAAUUCGUAGAUAUUAGGAAGAACACCAGUGGCGAAGGCGGCCAACUGGCCCGAUACUGACGCUCAUGUGCGAAAGCGUGGGGAGCAAACAGG